GGGUAUUGCCAGCUACAUGGGUGGUAGAAUUAGCCCACUGAUAGCCCAAGGGAGGGAGUAACUGAAAGUAGUUCAGAGGCUGCUGAUGUCAAAGUUGGGUUAAUGGGAAUAUUAAAGUCCCUGAGAAUUAGGGAUGGAAUAUUAGAAGAGAGGGAAACCAGGGGGGUGAUAAAUAAUGGCAAUGUUAGCAGAGAAGGGUUUGAAGAGGCGAAUCAAAUGAAUUUCAUAUUAUGGGAAAGAGAGGGUAGGAGGGUGGGUAUAGGUUUGAAGGAGCAUGUUCUGAUUGUGUUAGAAUUUCACAGACUUUAUACGUUAGUCACAAAGAUUGUGUCUUCAUGGAAACCUCAAAACUGACAAUGCAGCUUUAAUCAUUUCUGUAAAUAAUUAGAUGUUUAAUGCUUUGAUGUGACCAAUGGCAUGAGCAUAAACAGACUGGAGGUCCCCAUGUGGAGUAUUCCGUAUUCUGCUACCUUUGACAUUCAGCCUCUUUUUAUACAAAAUAAUCCCCCAAAACACGUGCAGGGCUCUUCACUAAAGUGAAAAUUGUGAGUGUUUCAAAGUUAAUUUCAAACUUCAUGAAAAAAGUCGAAAUGGAAGAUUCGCUGACCUUAGAGGAUUUUGGCUACAUUUCCCAAAAAUUUAAAUUCACUUUUAAUUCCCAACAAUUUUCAAUUUGGUAAAUAACCUUCUUGAAGUAAAC